rnacentral:lncRNA from 1 species
UCAGUCCCAGUUGCCUAGUGCAGCAGGAAGAGAAAGAUCAUAGUGAAUUAGCAACAUCUGCCAUGGUCACAGGAUGGGGACAUAGUGGCAGAUCAGUCACUUAACAUGGCCUCUUACUAGCAACAUUGGCAGUGGAUCUGUAUGCUUAGGGGCCACGAUGAACAAAACAACUCGAGAUUGAAUCAAACACAAGAGAAAAUGAUGCAAUCAAGAGACGUGCCUCAUCCUUUGAAAAAGUGAGAGCUGGAAGCAUAACUAGCACUGAAAACUUGUCCUAUAAUUACAUUCUCCACUAAAAGGAA